AUUGCAUUUGCCUAUGUAAGUACAUUUUCAGUCAUUUAUAAUUAAGAAUUAAAUAUUAGUAUUUUACUUUUUUUAAAGUUCGUUCUUAUAUUGUACUUUUACACCACUGUCUCAGUUUAGGGGAGGGUUGGGCUCCUGCUAAUAUUUUUAACCUCACCACAUGCUGAAUGUAUUUGUCCAGAAUCCGGAGCUUGUAAUUCACUGAAUGUCGUUUGUUUUGUGUUACAUUUUUGCUUUUCGUUCAUGUUUUGUACAUAAUUAUGCUGUUAGUUUUCUCGUUUAAAAAGUUUUACAUUUGUCAUUUCGUGUCCUUUAUAGAGGAUCAUUCGGUAUGGGCUUUGCUAAUUGCUGAAGUCGGUUCGGUGAUCUAAACUUGUGUAUUUCUGUGUCAUUUGGUCUCUUGUGGAGCGUUGUCUCAUUGGCAACAAUUCAAAUGAUAAAAAUUACGGCCUAAUUUAUGUACAAAAAAGCGUGAAAAACAAAUACUUAAGACAUCAACAAACGACAACCACUGAGUGACAGGCUCCUGAUGUUGGACAAGCACAUACUUGAAGAAAGUUUUUAUUCUGCUUGCAGAUGUUAUUAUAGGCAACUUAUUUUGGUUAACAAUUUCAAAAUCAGUACUAGGUUAACAUAAAGCGGAAGGCAAUCCGCUUGCAUUCGCCGGAAUAGUAUACAUAUUGUGUCAUAAGGUUUUUUGCCGAUAUUUUUGUCUAAGCACGUGACAGUAAGAAUUUUCUUAAAACAAUUGUUUUUAUUUAAAACAAAAAGGAAAUCAAAGUUGUAUCGCAAAUAGACAAAAAAAAUUGACUAAGAAGUUACAUUGCAGAACGCUAUAAGACAAUUUUUGCUAAUAUAAUAUAUUCUAUUAUCAUUUACACACUUUCUAACUGAUUUGUAUAUACUGUAUAUCUUUUGUAGUGUCUAGCACAAAAUUAACUAGAAGCAUGAAGGUGUUUGUUUGUUUGGUAGCCUGUAUGUUAUUAAUGUCUAUUGGAGGUAAGAAAAUAAUGAGAACGCCAUGUUACCAUGUACGUUUAAGUGAUAUUGGUAAACAUAAUUUUAUUGUACAUUUUUUCCGAGGUACCAAGACAAAAAGAAACAAAAUACUUACACAUAAAAAGCAAGGAAUCUUUGUUUUUAUCAAUUUUCCAUCAAAAAUACUAAAUAUGGGUUGACAGCUAUCUGUUCUGUUUUCACAGCUGAACCAUAACACACUUAGGUUCAUUUGUUAUCGAGGUAUUUCCAACAACAUUUAAUAGAUGCAAACAAAGCUGUGUUAAUUUAAAAAAAAAACAUUUUUAAAAGUAAUGCGGUCUUGUUGAAGACAAUACGUUGGUGUACAGAUGUGUGUAGUAUAGUGUUUUGUUUUAGAUUGAUGUCUAUUAACGUGUACAUGUAAUUAUCAUCUACUUUCAUUCAAGUUUGAAUAUUGAAACUUACAGUUCUUUUAUAGAACUGAUUUUUUGGAAAUGAAAAGGAUAAUGCUUUUGAUCUUCAAACCAACUUUUUUGGCAAUUUAUAUUAAAAAUAAUAUCUGGUCGUAUACUACCAUUGUUUAUAAUUGUUUAUCGUUUGUCUGUUUAUUUUUAAUUUUAAAUGGAUCAUAAUUAGAAAUUACCGUAACUUUAUCUGAACAGUAUACAGUUCCUUAUUUCCGACUGGUGUAUGUGCAUGAUGAAACAUGUAAACAUGAUCGCGAGAUACAUAUAUAAACACUAUGUUUACUUGUAGUUAGCAUGGCUAAUGACGAAAUGAUGGAAGACAAUGGACUUAUUCAUGAGUAAGUCGGAUUAACCACAUGUGAAUGUUUUGAUUGUUAGAUUCAAUCAAGUGUAAUUAUUUCAGUCUGUCUCAACCGUUUAGCGAGUUUGUUCAAUUUAUUGAUUUUAUUAGAAAUUAUAAGAUAUCAAAGACCAGUAUCCCUUUAACAAAAUGUCAAUUGAAAAUAUGAAAGUAUUAAGGAAUCCGGGUUGUAUCACAGAUAAUUGUAUAUUUCAAAUAGAAAAAGCACAACACUAUACUGUUAAAACCUAACACAACACAUACAGUUGGGUGCAGACCAAGCAUUACAUAAAGUAAACGCAAGUUAACGCGGCGUGCACAUUUUUCGUUAGUUAACUAUAAAUUUCGCGUUUACUAGUAAACGCCCGUUUACUUCAUUUACGUUAACGCGGUCAAAACGGAAAUUUCUAAUGUCUACUCGAGUAAACGCGCGUUUACUAUGUGUCCGUUUAGUCAGUAGUAAACGUCCGUUUACUUCAGAUUUCACGUGCACGUAAAAGUAAACGGGCGUUUACUACAGAUUUCUCAAUUGUAUUUUUAUGCGCACUUGAAAGUAAACAGGCGUUUACUUUUCGCGUUAACUAAUUGUGUAUAUUAUAAAAUAAUCGCCGUGUGCAUUUGUAUAUUUAUUUAUGUUGUUAAAAUGACUUAAUAUUUUACGUAUAUGGGUUUUGAACCCUAACAUUAAAAACCACUUUUUAUUAGAAAUAUAAACAUUUAUUAAUUGCAAAAAUAGUCAGUUCCAAAAACUUUCCACAGCGGAUUUUCUAUUUUUUCUGUUCAAAAUUUACAUGUACAAAUAUCGACUCACAGUUAAACCGGCAUAUUUAAAAAUAGAUAUGCCAAACUUAAAUAUUCCAAAACUUAAUAUCCUCUAACGAAUGUAAACUGAAAGUCUUGUGGGUUUUACAGUUCCAGGAAGAAUUUCCAUUUUGUUCUUAUAUGCAAUGAUUAAUUUUCAAUAAAUUAAUUAAAGAGGUCUAUUGCCAAUAUGUUGAUCGAAAAUGGACAGAUGGAUAUUUUAAUGUACCUUAUCAUGUGAUAUAUUAGGUCAGUGUAUCCAGGAUACGAGGACAAUCUGCGUUAACGCGCGUUUACUACAAACAGUAAACGGGCGUUUAUUUUUUUUUAAAAGAUAGAAGACACGUCUUUUUCGCGUUAACGCGAAGUAAACGCGAAAGUAAACGCCCGUUUACUCUUUACAAGAUUAGAAGACGCGCGGUUUUCGCGUUAACGCGGAGGUGAACGUGAAAGUAAACGCCCGUUUACUAUUUAUGUCUACUAAAAUUUCGGAGUUAACGCAGAGUUAACGUGACGUUUACAUGAAGUGAACGCGAGUAAAUGCCGCGUUCACUUUUUAGGCCCGUUUACAUGUAAUGCUUGGUCUACACCCAACUGUAUGGUGAACAAUGUAUCUCGGACGAAAAUAACCAAAAAUGCAACGCUGAUGUAUAAUAAUAGACUAAUCUCUCUUGCAAGAAAUAAAUUAAGAAUGUAUUACUGUGAAACUGUUAAACUUUAUAAUUUUGAAAUGAUUCAUGCCUGUAGUUUGCAUCUGUCAUGGUAUCAUGUUGUCAAGUAGCAUUUUACAUUUGUGAUGCAAAAUCAGAGAAAACGUUUAUUUUGGAAACAUUCACAACCCGCUUUAACUAUAAAUUAAGAUUGUUGACAGUAAUAGUAGGAUAUUCAGCAUCGAAGUUUUAAAAUAAACAUAUAUUAAACUAAAAUAAACAUACAUUAAACUAAAAUAAACAUAUAUUAAACUAAAAUAAACACAGUGUUAAUUAUAUCAGACGUGCAGAUGAUUUGCAUAAGAUUUAACUUAUCCAAAAUUAUCGCUUACAAAUAUGGGUUAAGAAAUCCCUACCCCAAAUAAAGUGUGUCUACCGAAUAUACACAAUAAGAUCACUCUUAUCAACAAAUUAAAUGUUUUUUUUAUCGAAUACAAGCUAUCAAUGCUUCUUGUUUCAGGCGUGUAAAAAGAGCUCCGUGUUGGCAAAGAAGAUGUACUUUUAACUUCCAGUGCUGUUAUGGCUAUACCUGUUCAUACAAAAGAUGUGUUCGCAAGAGAGGCUAGUUAAUGCGGUUGUCAAUUCUUUACACGUCCUAGCAAGCAUACAAGUUCCAUAAAUAAAUUGUUACUUUAAAUAUUAGUUUCGUGUAAAGAAUAAACUGAU
rnacentral:lncRNA from 1 species